rnacentral:rRNA from 1 species
GGUGACUGCGUACCUUUUGUAUAAUGGGUCAGCGACUUAUUUUCAGUGGCAAGCUUAACCGAAUAGGGGAGGCGUAGCGAAAGCGAGUCUUAAUAGGGCGUCUAGUCGCUGGGAAUAGACCCGAAACCGGGCGAUCUAUCCAUGGGCAGGUUGAAGGUUGGGUAACACUAACUGGAGGACCGAACCGACUACCGUUGAAAAGUUAGCGGAUGACCUGUGGAUCGGAGUGAAAGGCUAAUCAAGCUCGGAGAUAGCUGGUUCUCCUCGAAAGCUAUUUAGGUAGCGCCUCAUGUAUCACUGUAGGGGGUAGAGCACUGUUUCGGCUAGGGGGUCAUCCCGACUUACCAAACCGAUGCAAACUCCGAAUACCUACAAGUGCCGAGCAUGGGAGACACACGGCGGGUGCUAACGUCCGUCGUGAAAAGGGAAACAACCCAGACCGUCAGCUAAGGUCCCAAAGUUAUGGUUAAGUGGGAAACGAUGUGGGAAGGCUUAGACAGCUAGGAGGUUGGCUUAGAAGCAGCCACCCUUUAAAGAAAGCGUAAUAGCUCACUAGUCGAGUCGGCCUGCGCGGAAGAUUUAACGGGGCUCAAACCAUACACCGAAGCUACGGGUAUCA